UGCUCCCUCUAUCUCUCUCUCUCUCUCUCAAAUCUCUCUCUCUCUCUCUAUGAACUGUCUGCAACAAAGAACCAUCCUAAUCCGCCACACAUCACCAUCUCCAUCUAGAUCCACCACACCAUCACACCGCCUCCAUCCAGAUCCGCCACACCAUACCACCACCUCCAUCUGAAUUGCCACACAACACCUCCGCCUCCAUCUAGAUCUGCGACAACCACCACCACCGAAAGAAAAAACGUUAUUGUACGGUGAAGAAAGUCAAGGAUGAACUUAUUUUGGAUGGAAAUGACAUUGAGCUUGUUUCCAAAUUGUGUGCCUUGAUUAACCAGAAAUGUCAUGUGAAGAACAAAGAUAUCAGAAAGUUUCUUGAUGGUAUUUAUGUCAGUAACAAGGCAAAGAUAGAUGCGGGUGACAAUUAGUCGGUGGUUGUUAAUGGUGAUGGGUGGUGGUCUUUGAGAGGAAGAGAGAUAGGUGGUGCUAGUGAGGUGUUUAGGUGGUCGUUGUGAUGGUGGCUUGGGUGGUGGCCGGAUGGUGGUUGGAAUGUCAUUGGUGAAGCUUUAGGCUAAAAGUUAGGGAGAAAGAGGGUGUUGACUUGAAAGAGCUAUAAUUGUACCCCACGCGCGUUGCGUUGCGGUUGCAUUACGUUGCGGUCCACAAUUUUUCGUAAACGCUCAAGGAGUCCUUUCACCUGUCAUUUUUAAGGUUAUUUAGCAACUACGGAAUAGGCUGGAGCUGCUCGGUCUUGACAUAUUGGAAUUUGCAACUUCACCGAAAAAUAUCUUAUUAGGCUUAAGUCACCUUUUAUAUAUUCGAUCCGCCUGUGGAUUUUAGUAUGACUUGUAUAAUAUUUUUGUACUUUAUUUUAUUUACUUUAAAUUUU